UGGCCCUUUGCUUCUUUUGAGACUCAACAGUUGCCGAAGCCUUCUUUUUCCUCUAGGUGUUCUUCUUCAGCUGCUCAAGUUCUUCGAUCUUCAUAUCUGUGCCAAGCUAAAGCAAGCUAGUUCAAAAACAAAAAAGAAAGAAAAGUGAAAAAUAUAUAUGGAGAAGAUAAAUCAAUCCGAUCGAUGCUUAUCUUGGGUGUCAGUUGAGCUAAGAUAGAUGUUGAAGAGAGUCUGCUCUGAUAACAACUACUUCAAUGGUGGGAUCAUAAACUCGUGCAAAAUUUGAAGUACUAAGUAUUCUUUUACCUCAAUACUAGAAUUUGGAGGAUAGACUUCCUUGGCCAGCCCCCAUGAGCAAAUCCCCAAUCUCUAACUGAAAAGCAAGAAAUGAAGAAGAAGCACUCCUUCCAAUUGUGAAUGGAGGAAAGAA
rnacentral:lncRNA from 1 species